GUGUCAGCAGCCGCGGUAAUACAGAGACUGUAAGCGUUGUUCGGAUUCAUUGGGCGUAAAGGGUGCGUAGGCGGUGAGGUAAGUUGGAUGUGAAAUCUCAGGGCCUAACCCUGAAAGUGCAUCCAAAACUGCCUUGCUUGAGGACUGGAGGGGAGACUGGAAUUCUCGGUGUAGCGGUGAAAUGCGUAGAUAUCGAGAGGAACACCAGUGGCGAAGGCGGGUCUCUAGCCAGUUCCUGACGCUGAGGCACGAAAGCCAGGGUAGCAAACGGGAUUAGAUACCCCCGUAGUCC
rnacentral:rRNA from 1 species